GCCUCGGUAGCUCAGCGGUUAGAGCUGACCGCUCAUAACGGUUAGGUCGCAGGUUCGAAUGUAACCGCCCGAUUGAGGCC
rnacentral:tRNA from 1 species